GCGUAGAAUGCCGCUAACCCCGUAAAAAUCGGUAGUGCCUUUGGCGCGUAACCAAACGAUCCGGGUUCGAGUCCCGGUCUGGGCU
rnacentral:tRNA from 1 species